UACGGGGGGGGCAAGCGUUGUUCGGAAUUACUGGGCGUAAAGGGCUCGUAGGCGGCCAACUAAGUCAGACGUGAAAUCCCUCAGCUUAACUGGGGAACUGCGUCUGAUACUGGAUGGCUUGGAUUCGGGAGAGGAAUGCGGAAUUCCAGGUGUAGCGGUGAAAUGCGUAGAUAUCUGGAGGAACACCGGUGGCGAAGGCGGCAUUCUGGACCGACAUUGACGCUGAGGCGCGAAAGCGUGGGGAGCAAACAGG
rnacentral:rRNA from 1 species